AUUGAACGCUGGCGGCAUGCCUUACACAUGCAAGUCGAACGGCAGCGGGCCUUCGGGUGCCGGCGAGUGGCGAACGGGUGAGUAAUGCAUCGGAACGUGCCAUUGAGUGGGGGGAUAACGUAGCGAAAGUUACGCUAAUACCGCAUAUUCUGUGAGCAGGAAAGCAGGGGACCGCAAGGCCUUGCGCUCUUUGAGCGGCCGAUGUCAGAUUAGGUAGUUGGUGGGGUAAGAGCCUACCAAGCCGACGAUCGGUAGCUGGUCUGAGAGGACGACCAGCCACACUGGGACUGAGACACGGCCCCAGACUCCUACGGGAGGCAGCAGUGGGGAAUUUUGGACAAUGGGGGCAACCCUGAUCCAGCAAUGCCGCGUGUGUGAAGAAGGCCUUCGGUUGUAAGCACUUUUGCGGGUACGAACGGACGCUUGCUAAUACCAGGCGCC
rnacentral:rRNA from 1 species